AUUGUCUGUGGUAUAAACAGAUAUAAGCAGACACACUAAACACACUGUAUAAAUAGACGACAACAGAGGCACUGGACAAAUACGUAACGGAGAGAGUCUCACAACAAGCGUAAGAUCAUCUUGGAGUGAAUAGAGCGAAUUUAAUGUGACAUUGGCUUUUCAACACAAAAGAUCAUCGAAGAUGUCGACAAAGUUUGUGACAGUUGUCAUUUCAUGCAUUUUGCUCCAUAUCUGCACGUUGUCCCUAGCUCAGUUGGAGCCUCAAACGUACCCACCCCCGGGAGAUUGUGGAACUGACUGCUUUUAUGAUCAGGAAAAUUGCUAUUUUAGUUGUCGACACAAGUAUUACAGGAUGGGAGCUUGUGAACGAAUAGAAACACCCAAUGGUGAGAGAUGGCAGUGUGAACCCUACGACUGAUGGUACGGAUGUAAUGAUUGGCUGAAAAGCAGACGGUGGAAGUGCUACGAAGAGACAAAAUCGUAAACGGACUAGUCUGUUUCGACCCCGGGCCAAAUCUGAAAUUUCCAGGAACACUGUAACAUAGAUUCUAGCACUGUAGGAAUGUAUGUGGACGUGCAGACCAUUCUUCUGAUACAGUGUAAUAACAAUUUGCGCUUUUUUGUAAUAAAACUUGAAUAACUUGUGAA